rnacentral:rRNA from 1 species
GAUAAACGCUGGCGGCGUGCAUAACACAUGCAAGUCGAACGAUGAAGAUUAAUAGAUUUCUUCGGAAUGAACUUAAUUGGAUUAGUGGCGGACGGGUGAGUAACGCAUGAGUAACCUGCCUUGUACAAGGGGAUAGCCGUUGGAAACGACGAAUAAUACCCUCUGACAUCAAAUAAUCGCAUGAUAAUUUGAUCAAAGAUUUAUCGGUAUACGAUGGACUCGCGUCUGAUUAGCUAGUUGGUAGAGUAAAAGCCUACCAAGGCAACGAUCAGUAGCCGACUGGAGAGAGUGUACGGCCAAAUUGGAACGGAGACACGCCCCAGACUCCUACGGAAGGCAGCAGUGGGGAAUUUGGCACAAUGGGGGAAGCCCUGAUGCAGCGACGCGGCGUGAUUUAGAAGGCCUUCGGGUUGUAAAGAUCUUUUGUAUGGGAAGAAAAUGACAGUACCAUACGAAUAAGGACCGGCUAAUUACGUG